rnacentral:rRNA from 2 species
CAAUGGGGCGCAGCCUGAUGGAGCACACCGCGUGAGUGAAGAAGGGUUUCGGCUCGUAAAGCUCUGUUGUUAAAGAAGAACACGUAUGAGAGUAACUGUUCAUACGUUGACGGUAUUUAACCAGAAAGUCACGGCUAACUACGUGCCAGCAGCCGCGGUAAUACGUAGGUGGCAAGCGUUAUCCGGAUUUAUUGGGCGUAAAGAGAGUGCAGGCGGUUUUCUAAGUCUGAUGUGAAAGCCUUCGGCUUAACCGGAGAAGUGCAUCGGAAACUGGAUAACUUGAGUGCAGAAGAGGGUAGUGGAACUCCAUGUGUAGCGGUGGAAUGCGUAGAUAUAUGGAAGAACACCAGUGGCGAAGGCGGCUACCUGGUCUGCAACUGACGCUGAGACUCGAAAGCAUGGGUAGCGAACAGGAUUAGAUACCCUGGUAGUCCAUGCCGUAAACGAUGAGUGCUAGGUGUUGGAGGGUUUCCGCCCUUCAGUGCCGGAGCUAACGCAUUAAGCACUCCGCCUGGGGAGUACGACCGCAAGGUUGAAA